AGUGAACGCUGGCGGUAGGCCUAACACAUGCAAGUCGAACGGCAGCACAGUAAGAGCUUGCUCUUACGGGUGGCGAGUGGCGGACGGGUGAGGAAUACAUCGGAAUCUACUUUUUCGUGGGGGAUAACGUAGGGAAACUUACGCUAAUACCGCAUACGACCUACGGGUGAAAGCAGGGGAUCUUCGGACCUUGCGCGAUUGAAUGAGCCGAUGUCGGAUUAGCUAGUUGGCGGGGUAAAGGCCCACCAAGGCGACGAUCCGUAGCUGGUCUGAGAGGAUGAUCAGCCAAACUGGAACUGAGACACGGUCCAGACUCCUACGGGAGGCAGCAGUGGGGAAUAUUGGACAAUGGGCGCAAGCCUGAUCCAGCCAUACCGCGUGGGUGAAGAAGGCCUUCGGGUUGUAAAGCCAUUUUGUUGGGAAAGAAAAGCAGCAGGUUAAUACCCCGCUGUUCUGACGGUACCCAAAGAAUAAGCACCGGCUAACUUCGUG
rnacentral:rRNA from 1 species